GCAACCCUGCUGUGUUCGUGAUAUUGCCCUCACGUUUUGAGCCAACAUCUCUAAAACGGGUCCUUAUCUCACAAGAAAUAACGCGAUAGGCCUGAGCCAAGGCGGCGUUUCUGGGUCAGGACCCACCUGCGAAAGCAGGUUCAAAACCUGGUGAUACACGGCAUAAGCGGGGGUUUU
rnacentral:other from 1 species